AUUAAUUGUUUUGCCCUACCUUAAUGCAGGCAUUUUCAAGCAUUCUGUCGGUCUUCAUCCUGGGGUUCUAUGACAUGCAACACAUUUUUAUUUCUCCAUUUGUGAAAAUGUUAGCAAACUGCAUCAGCCUUUUUGCGGUUAACUCGCUAACUUAAACUAGAGGUAGAAUUUCUAAUCCGGGAUGGAAUUAUGUUACAACGGGGCAGAGAUGAGCCACCCGUGGGCGCCUUAAAAUGUUCGGCUAUAUAGCUAGUCUUGAGAAUUGCUCUCUAGCCAUGAUCCCCAGUUUGAAAGACUUUGAGAUAUGCAUAUUCAGUAAUAAUAAUGUGCAGAUAUUGCGAAGUCCAUAUAAAUUUUCGAGGUAUAAUAGUGUUAGUCUUCCACUUUGACAUUUUGUGUGUAUAGUAAGAAAAAAUUUUUUUUUUUAAAUCAAACGUUUUACAAUAAUAUUGAAGACAUCCUUACAGUUUGGGUACUCUUAUUAUUGGCAUUUAACAUAUUUAUAUAGAAAAGUUUUUCUUAGUAGGUUGAUGUCGUUGAAUGAUUAGUAUGCAUUAAAGCUAAAGGUCUCUUGGGCACGAUGCCAGAAGAAAUGUAACUCCAGCCACCACCUUGUGACAAAUGUCAGAGGUCAGGAAGGAGGGGAUCCUCAGUACGCCUGAGACGAGAGGAGCUAAAGCUAUGUUAGCACACGCCGUCUCACUCGGCUUAAAUCAGACAAGCUCGAUAGAGGACGGGACAGUAGAAAAGGAAAAAAAAACUCCUCUUCUGAGAAACUCACUGAUCUCUGGCUCUCACAUCAAAGAGCCUCAUUAUGCAACAGAUCCUCUGUGACUGCCUUUACAGGAAGACUGAAACACUGAGCUGGGUCCCGCUAAGCCUCUGUCUGAGAGGAAUGGGCAGGGCAUGAAGGGACAUGCAGGCAGAGAAGGGCCCAGGGACCUGUGCUGGCUGAGGAACCAGGCAGUUGCUCACAUAACCACUGCAGCCCCCCCCCCCCCCCGCCCAUUGCUUAGGGGACCAACACUGGUUAACGGAAGAGGGCGACCAUAUAUCAGUCAUGGCUUCAUCCCAGGUCCCCACAUGCUCGUGCUGAGAUGGAGGCAGUGUGAGGGUGCCCACAUCCUCACCUCAGUGGCGGAUCGAAGUGGGCUUGUGUGUGUGGGACUCCCAGUUCCCUCUCCGCGUGUUGCGAUAUGAACCCCAGUAUGUGCCGUUGUGCGUCCUCCCCCGCCCCUCCUCUCCUCGGCCGAAGCCAGGUCUGUUCGUCGCUAAUGGAGCUGCACCACUCAGGCCUCGAGAGGAGGAGGCAGCCAGCCUGGAAAUGGCGGGCAUAAAUCAUGCAUUCCUGCGCUCGCUUACGCAGCCCCCCCCCCCCCCCCCCUUGUUAAAAAUGCAUGCCGCUGAGUACGGCCCUCUUACGGGAUGAACGCUUUCCAGCCGAGAGAACAGGAGCACAGCUGAGAAAGCCAGGCGUGGGGCGGGGCUUCCAUUAAACUGUUCCUGCCGCUGUUGCUAAUGAAUGAAUUUCUGCCCACCUUGACAUAUUGGCUUCACAAGUCAUAAAUGGCACUGAUCCCAUCCUUCAUCUAUUCCCACUCUGACAGUAAUUGACAGCGCAGCUCGUUGGCAAUAUGUUAUUUUAUCCCAGUGUUUCAAUGAACCAGGUCCUGAGUCAUUUAUGCGCGCUGCGAGCCGAGUGAGUGGUCUUCAACUCUUAUGCAGGCUCUCCUAAUGGGAGCCCCUUCGGCCACCAUUACUGCUGCACAAACAAUGACGUGCGGCUACAGUAAAACAACGGCAAUAUAAAGUUCGACCACCCCCCCCACCCCCCCCGUGUUUGCAAGGCAGGUCUCCUCAUAGUCAUAUAGGUGGUCAUGUCCGCUGGCCACUGAUUGGGUCGGGAGUUGAACAAAUGGUCACUGGAGUCAUAGCGGACCACAGAGCUGUUUGUCUAUGUCACUGUAAGAACGUAGAUCCCACUGGCUCUUUCGGGUUAUCUUUUUAAAUAUGCUUUUUCAGACAUUUAUGCUAGAUUGAGACAGUGGGGAAAGACGGGAGAGUCGGACGGUUUCCAAUCUAUGAUGCAGCAGUACAUGAGCACUGGAGGCAGUGGAUUAGACCACUGGACCAGCCAAGGCCACAAUGAUUCAUGUUAUUAAUUGUGGAUUCACACAUGCUGUGUGACACAGAAAUACAGACAUAGAAAUGUGCUCUAGACAUUAGAUACAAGCUUGGCUUACAAAAUCACAGUGAUCAGAGACGGAGUAAUGAUUGUGAAUCAGUUCUGGGUGUAGUCGUUGUUAUUAUCCAUGAUUCUUUAAAUGACUAGAGAGUGAAAAUGCGGCUGAAUACAGAUCCCUCUAAGAUUUGGGACACUUUUGUUCCUGAAGAUUCGCAUAAUGGCAUUUAAGCAUGGCUGGAGAAGACACAAAGGGAAAGCUGGCAGUUAUCUCUUUUGCUGCUUUGUGCGGAAAAAAUCUAUACAAACCUAAAUUUCUUUGUCUGAUGGAAAUGACUGGAUAUCACAAAUAAAGCGCUGUUUCCAGUAAGCUUUGCAUCCACAUUGGAGAGAGAAGGAAUUAGCUAGAAUUAUCAUUUGCGUGCAAACCGAUUUCAGAUUAUGUUUAUUGAAUUGUUUUUAACGAUACUCCAACAUACAUUCCAUACAACUGACAAACAGUAAUGGGGGACUCUUGAAUGGCACAUCUUAGUGUCAUGAUAUAUUUUGAUCAAGUCUGCAUUAUCGCAGUGCAUAUAUCUCAGACUCUGUAACAUACUUAGCAGAGUGUGUAACUUCCAUAACAGGUAAUUAACCGCUCUAAAUAAUGGAAAAUGUUAG
ensembl:lncRNA